rnacentral:lncRNA from 1 species
GGCCGUGUCCAGCGGCCCGCUCGCCCCUCUGCCCUCCGCAGGGGAGGUGGCGGUAAAGCAGAGCGGCUCUGUGCUGGCCGGUCGCUCUGUGGAAUUGUGUUCACUGGAAGAACCAACUGGUGCACGAUGGAGGCUGUUUCCUCCCCAGGACCCCCAGUCAAGUCACCAUCCCGGUGCUCUUGGCCUGUGGCAAUGGCCCUGGCGACCAGCACCCCCACACCCAGGACCAGCAGCGUCUCCCUGGGACCCCAUCCUGAACCAACCUCAGCAAAACAGGGCUAAGGAGAAGAGGAGAGAAGGGCUUCCAGGUGCACGGGGGUCUCGGCUCGGCUACCCCCGUCUGUGCCUCUGUCUCUCCCUUCCCCUCUAGUCCGCCCUUCUGCCUGGGGCCUCCUUCCUCUGCUCACAGGGUUAGAGGUCCUGAGGAGAACUGCACUCACUCCUCUCUAUCCAGGACAACAGGCGCCAGGACAGGAGUGUCCCCCAAGACACCAAGACACGUCACAGAGUGGUGCCACGAGGAGUGGGCGGGUCCAGGAACCCAGGAGUCCUGAAGGACCUUCCACACCUCAAGGUAUAUUCAUGGGAUUCACAUCAGGGUGACAUUGCAAAGGAACGUGAAAAGAGACAGACUGGGUCUGUGGCCCCCGUGUGAAGUGGGCACAGCCUCAUGCUGAGAACAGAGGCUGGGGCUGCGACCCACCCUGACCGGUGGGGAGGCAGAUGGGAGUGAGGGGCCCACUCAGGCCCGGCUAACCAGGCUAACCAGGCUACCCAGGCUAACCGCAUCUGCACCUGUGUGUCUCCUGCCUUUGUCUGCACCCUCCGUGUCUCCUGCCCUGCCUCCCCCCUUUGAAAUUCUCCUUAACUUCAGAUGCUUCAGACAUCCUGUUACAGAGCGAGGGCCACCGUGGAGCAGAGGUGAGGCCACCGGGUCCUAGUUACCAGUUCGUGUGGUCACACUGGCAAGGUUUCAGACGAGUGGCUCUGAGGAGCGGGCGUGAGUUCAUUGGAAGGAUAGGAAAGGGACAGAGUGGGUCCUCUCAGAGGGCAGAGUCGGCGCAUCUCUCCUGAGCUCCCGUUUUAUUGAGGUCCUAGGGAAGUUUCCAGAGAGUCUCACCCAAGUCCCCUUCUUGGCUUUUGACAACAGAAUUGCCGCAGAUUUCCAAGAUCCCCCUGAGGCUCAGUAAGGGAGGAGGCGACCUGGGUCUCUGAGUUCUAAUCAUCACAUCUCCCUGAGUUGGAGUCUGGUCUCUGUAAAAUUCCCCUCCUUCAGGGAAAGUUGUGUUCUCCCUAUCAGCAGGGAGAAGGCAGGGGGAGGUUUUUGGACCCCGUAUCUCCCCUGCAGAUAACAGAUGAUUUGCUGAGAAAUGUCACCUAUCCUGUUGACUUAAGCCAACAAAGCUGCAGGGCAAUUGCUUUUAAAAAGAAAGUGCUGGGGGUUGUACUUAGGCCCAGUUUAUAGAACUAUUUGACCUCGGGUUCCGCUACCCUUGGCUGUCUGUCACCUCUCAGCAGGUAGAACCUCUCAGACCUGCAUAGGUCAGAACCUUGAAUUAGUUUCUUUGUCUCCCUUCAAAGCUGUCCGUGUACAAAACCUAUUUCCCCCCGAAUUUGCCUCUCAACAUUUCUGUAGCAGUGAGCAUCUUGGCCAAGCCUCUUCCUCCUGUGUGGCAUGAGUACCGCUCAGUAGCAAAGGCACUGGAUUAUUCAAUAAGUCUGUCCAGGCCAAAGGCUGGCAACUUGUAAAAAAGCAGAGCUGUCUCCGUCACUACUGCAUGGACCAACAUACAUUCCAUGUUGAUCAAAGAUGGAAAGUUCUUUAAAAGUACAACCUAAGAGGCUGGGGAUGUAAUUCAGUGGGAGAGAACAUGCUGACUCUGAGUCCAGGCUUCACCCUCAGCACUGAGAACAAAAUUACAAGAGAGAGACACAAAAAGAAAAGAGGAUUUUUUUUUGUUUGCUUGUUUAUUGCUUAUUUGGGGGCAAGCAUCUUGCUAGGCUUCCCUGGAACUCACAAUCCUCCGGCCUCUGCCUAGCUGGGAUUACAGUUGAGCACCACCACACCUGGCCUGAAAGGAAUUUCAUUUUUUCUUAUUUAUUUUUUGUAGUAUCGGGGAUUAAACAAAGAGCUAUGCUAGUAUCUACCAGGCAAGUGACCCAGCACCAUGCCCAUCCCAGCCCUGGAAAGAUAAUUUAAAAAAAUAUGUCUGGAGAGGUUUUCCUAAGCAUGACCAACAACAUGCCAUGACAUGUUUAAUAAGUUAGCUUAAAAAAAUCUGUACAUGGCCACGUAUGCCAUCAGCAAAAAGAAAAGGACUGGGUUUUUAAACAAGCAACAAACAUUUAGAAGUUAAUGAGAAAGAAAAUAAUAAGUGAAAAAUAUUAAAAACCACUUAUAGGAAAAGAAAAUCCAAAUGACUUAUACAUAGAAAUGGAUGCUCGGUCUUGCCUGUAAUUAAGAAAAUGUGAAGUAAAGCAAGCGGCUACCUCUUUUCACAUAGUGGAGUGGCUGGCUUGAAGGUGCUGUGGAUGGGCGUCACCUUGCCCAGCCCGUUGGCCUGGUGUAAGUCAGCGUGACCUUCAGAGGAUGACUGGUCAGUGGUCCAAGUCGAGAAUUGACAUGGGCCUACUCAGCAAUUCUACUUCUGUAAAUUUCUUCUGUGGCACCUGCACAUGUUUUCAAAACUGCUGUGGGGUUGUAUAUGCUCACAUUUUGUUUAGAUUUGCUGGAAACAAUUUACCUGCUGAUAAGAGAGGGCGGGGACCAGGUAAAUUGCUACUGCCUUACAAGGAGGUGAAUCUGCCUCUAAUCGUGUUGACAUGUGGCCAAGACUCUUAUUAAAUUCACACCAUGAAUACCAGGGGAAAACACAGAGGGUAAUUCCACUGGUGUCCGAGACUCUGCUUCUGAGUUAAGACAGACACAACCCAGAGACAGAGGAAGGGCCAGGGAUCGGGUCCUGGCACCCCCCUGCUCAGGAACCCAGCAGGGCUCAAGGUCUUCCCAGGGCUUCCAGGGGCGUCUGUGACAAACGUGUCGUGAACCUGAAAGUGCUAUGUCAUUAGCAUGGACGGAGCACCUCGGCAUCCCUCCAAGUGUCAGGUCUUACUAAGUAACAACAACUACCACGCUAUGCCACUUUCAGUAGUGGCACUUCACUGAAUACGUGUGGGUCACCUGGUGUCAUGGGCCGCAAUCACAGGCUCUUUUAUUCCAAUCUUAAUUUCUAAUAUCUGUAACCAUCAAGUCACACACAUCAUACUGCACACAAAUCUAUAUAUUAUAGAAAGGCCAAGGAAGGGUUAAGGAGCCACAGGGGUCAGGAGGCUGAGCUGAGAGCAAAGGUGGACAUCAGAUAGAGAUGCAAAGGUCACUGUGGGUGGACAGAUAAGAUUAGGAACCUGCCAAAGAACUUUUCCAGGGCACAGAGCUAUUAAAGCACAGGAACUUAUUCCAGGCCUAGAUCCGAAUGGAGGGCAGUUUCACGGUGUCAGCUUGAGUGGUCAGCUUGGAAUGGGACUACCAUGGUGAUCCUGGGCAGGAGAAGCCAUGCGGUGCCGAACGAAGACUGAGGACAGAGAUUCGGACCUUGUUCACUGUGGUGAUCUUCCUGGCCAAGUCUGAAGACCAGUGACCAGGUAAGGGGCCGAGGGCCAUGGUGUCCAGACUUGGGGUGCUCCUACUUUUAUGGGCCUCUAGUGAGGAGGUUGCUUCAUUUGAGGCUCGGGUGUGUUUGCUGGUGUGUUCUAUAAGCUCGUGGGCCUGGUUUUCCCAAAGGAGUUUGAUAAGUCCCUGCGUCUAUAUGCUUCUGAUUAAUUCAACAAGUGCACAGGUGGU